rnacentral:rRNA from 1 species
UACGAAGGGGGCUAGCGUUGCUCGGAAUCACUGGGCGUAAAGGGUGCGUAGGCGGGAUCUUAAGUCAGAGGUGAAAGCCUGGAGCUCAACUCCAGAACUGCCUUCGAUACUGGCGAUCUCGAGUCCGGAAGAGGUGAGUGGAACUCCUAGUGUAGAGGUGGAAUUCGUAGAUAUUAGGAAGAACACCAGUGGCGAAGGCGGCUCACUGGUCCGGUACUGACGCUGAGGUGCGAAAGCGUGGGGAUCAAACAGG